rnacentral:sRNA from 2 species
UGACUACGUUUCUAGGGUUCCGAUGCCGAACAGGACAUGACUGGACCGAGAGAAACCUCCGGUGGGGAGACAUCCACCGGGUCCACGGCGGGAUAAAAGCCCGGGAGGC